AAGGAGUGCAACAAUCAUGCGAGUCGUAGGGUGGCAAACCUGAAGGCGCAAUGAAAGUGAAUCGAGUAGGAUCCCCCGCAAGGGGGAGCACUACUGCCCGGCCUUGCGGCUCAAUGCCAAAGGGUCUGAGGUAGAGCAUGAUUGCUGCGACCCGAAAGAUGGUGAACUAUGCCUGCAUAGGGCAAAGUCAGAGGAAACUCUGAUGGAGGCUCGUAGCGAUUCUGACGUGCAAAUCGAUCGUCAAAUGUGGGUAUAGGGGCGAAAGACUAAUCGAACCAUCUAGUAGCUGGUUUCCGC
rnacentral:misc_RNA from 1 species